rnacentral:rRNA from 1 species
AGUGAACGCUGGCGGUAGGCCUAACACAUGCAAGUCGAACGGCAGCACAGUAAGAGCUUGCUCUUACGGGUGGCGAGUGGCGGACGGGUGAGGAAUACAUCGGAAUCUACUUUUUCGUGGGGGAUAACGUAGGGAAACUUACGCUAAUACCGCAUACGACCUACGGGUGAAAGCAGUGGAUCUUCGUACCUUGCGCGAUUGAAUGAGCCGAUGUCGGAUUAGCUAGUUGGCGGGGUAAAGGCCCACCAAGGCGACGAUCCGUAGCUGGUCUGAGAGGAUGAUCGGCCACACUGGAACUGAGACACGGUCCAGACUCCUACGGGAGGCAGCAGUGGGGAAUAUUGGACAAUGGGCGAAAGCCUGAUCCAGCCAUACCGCGUGGGUGAAGAAGGCCUUCGGGUUGUAAAGCCCUUUUGUUGGGAAAGAAAAGCAGCAGGUUAAUACCCCGCUGUUCUGACGGUACCCAAAGAAUAAGCACCGGCUAACUUCGUG